rnacentral:rRNA from 9 species
AAAUUGAAGAGUUUGAUCAUGGCUCAGAUUGAACGCUGGCGGCAGGCCUAACACAUGCAAGUCGAACGGUAACAGAAAGCAGCUUGCUGCUUUGCUGACGAGUGGCGGACGGGUGAGUAAUGUCUGGGAAACUGCCUGAUGGAGGGGGAUAACUACUGGAAACGGUAGCUAAUACCGCAUAACGUCGCAAGACCAAAGAGGGGGACCUUCGGGCCUCUUGCCAUCGGAUGUGCCCAGAUGGGAUUAGCUUGUUGGUGGGGUAACGGCUCACCAAGGCGACGAUCCCUAGCUGGUCUGAGAGGAUGACCAGCCACACUGGAACUGAGACACGGUCCAGACUCCUACGGGAGGCAGCAGUGGGGAAUAUUGCACAAUGGGCGCAAGCCUGAUGCAGCCAUGCCGCGUGUAUGAAGAAGGCCUUCGGGUUGUAAAGUACUUUCAGCGGGGAGGAAGGGAGUAAAGUUAAUACCUUUGCUCAUUGACGUUACCCGCAGAAGAAGCACCGGCUAACUCCGUGCCAGCAGCCGCGGUAAUACGGAGGGUGCAAGCGUUAAUCGGAAUUACUGGGCGUAAAGCGCACGCAGGCGGUUUGUUAAGUCAGAUGUGAAAUCCCCGGGCUCAACCUGGGAACUGCAUCUGAUACUGGCAAGCUUGAGUCUCGUAGAGGGGGGUAGAAUUCCAGGUGUAGCGGUGAAAUGCGUAGAGAUCUGGAGGAAUACCGGUGGCGAAGGCGGCCCCCUGGACGAAGACUGACGCUCAGGUGCGAAAGCGUGGGGAGCAAACAGGAUUAGAUACCCUGGUAGUCCACGCCGUAAACGAUGUCGACUUGGAGGUUGUGCCCUUGAGGCGUGGCUUCCGGAGCUAACGCGUUAAGUCGACCGCCUGGGGAGUACGGCCGCAAGGUUAAAACUCAAAUGAAUUGACGGGGGCCCGCACAAGCGGUGGAGCAUGUGGUUUAAUUCGAUGCAACGCGAAGAACCUUACCUGGUCUUGACAUCCACAGAACUUUCCAGAGAUGGAUUGGUGCCUUCGGGAACUGUGAGACAGGUGCUGCAUGGCUGUCGUCAGCUCGUGUUGUGAAAUGUUGGGUUAAGUCCCGCAACGAGCGCAACCCUUAUCCUUUGUUGCCAGCGGUCCGGCCGGGAACUCAAAGGAGACUGCCAGUGAUAAACUGGAGGAAGGUGGGGAUGACGUCAAGUCAUCAUGGCCCUUACGACCAGGGCUACACACGUGCUACAAUGGCGCAUACAAAGAGAAGCGACCUCGCGAGAGCAAGCGGACCUCAUAAAGUGCGUCGUAGUCCGGAUUGGAGUCUGCAACUCGACUCCAUGAAGUCGGAAUCGCUAGUAAUCGUGGAUCAGAAUGCCACGGUGAAUACGUUCCCGGGCCUUGUACACACCGCCCGUCACACCAUGGGAGUGGGUUGCAAAAGAAGUAGGUAGCUUAACCUUCGGGAGGGCGCUUACCACUUUGUGAUUCAUGACUGGGGUGAAGUCGUAACAAGGUAACCGUAGGGGAACCUGCGGUUGGAUCACCUCCUUA